CGACUUUGACUUUGAAGAUCAUUCAAAGCCAUACGGUUGAUAAUGUUUGUGGCUUCUUCGGCACUUUUUGACAUCAACGAGCCACCCGAGGUGGCAUCCAACAACGUCUUACAGUUUGGUUGAAGUCCAUUUCUGAAGAUAUGGAUUUGAGUUAAUUCAUCAAAUCCAUGCCCUUUACAUUUCCUAAGCAUGGACUUGAAUCUCU
rnacentral:lncRNA from 1 species